GUACUUUCCUUAGCUCGUAAUUGAGGAUCAAUUGCUAAACUCGUAAUAGUUUGAAGUGUGUUGAAUUAAGGCUACAUUUGAGUUGAUAUCCCUAUUACUUUACUUUCAUUUUACCUUUAGUAUAUAGAUUUAGAACUAUAACUGUUGAUUAGGCUUCCUUUUUCCUGAACUGUGUGUAAGAGAUUCUUAUUGACUAUUUCUUAUGUGUAAUGAUAAACUAGAUUAUGGACAUUGAUUUUGAUAUGCAGAUUCCC
rnacentral:lncRNA from 1 species